GUCUCGAUCUCCUGACCUCGUGAUCCACCCGUCUCGGCCUCCCAAAGUGCUGGGAUUACAGGCUUGAGCCACCGUGCCCGGCUAUUCAAGAACUAUUAUUUGAGGAUGGACCACAUCCCAGGCACUGUGCUAUGUCCUGGAAACACAUCGUAGAGACGGGGUUUCACCGUGUUAGCCAGGAUGGUCUCGAUCUCCUGACCUUGUGAACUGCUCGUCUCGGCCUCCCAAAGUGCUGGGAUUACAGCCUUGGUCUUUCCUCUGACCCUGAGCGGCCUGGCUUGCAGUGCUGAGGCACCUUCCGGCUGCUGAGAAUUGGACCACUCUGUCGUCUUGCUGACUGCGGCAGAGGAACACCCAGGGUCUGACAAUCACCUCUACGAGAGCAGCUUGGAUGUUUCUCAGCUUUCACUUGACUUUAUUAUCCCUUCACUUACAAAAUAGAUAUAUAUUUUAGAAACAGAGUCUCCCUCACUGUGUUGCCCAGGUUGGACUCAAACUUCUGGGCUCAAGUGAUCCUCCCACCUCAGCCUUCCAAGUGGCUGGAUUACAAGCAUGUGCCACCACAUCCUGCUCAUCCUGUCAGUUUUUAGCCCAGAAAGCUGGCACUAAAAGGGAUGGUAGAUUUGAGGGAUUUUUAGAUGGAAGACAAUUUAGAUGACUCUGCACUGUAUUAUAAUCAAAUAUCCUGCAACUUUUAUUCCUAGAAGAAACUUGUGCAUCCUGAAUCUCUAACCCCUGGGAGUACAUUUUUUCCCCCAGCACCUUACCUAGGAAUGGUUACUAGGGUUAAGGGUUCUCAGUCUUGGUGGCCAAAGGCCAACACCUGUUCAUUUAUCUCCUAUCUUGU